UCUUAACCUUGAAUAAUUGCAAGUUAUCAUGUUAAAUUGUUACACUUUUCACUCCAAAAUAUGCCAUUUUCAAAUUUGAUACAUUUGUAACUCAAUGUAUGUAGAUACAACUCACUUCCAAAUACUAAAUUUUGAAAGUGGCAUGUUUUGGAAUCGAAUAACUAAUAACUAUCAAACAAAUUUCCAUUUGAAUGAAAAGUGUUCGUAUAGCAUGAUUCAAUAUCAAUUGUUUACCGAAUAUCAUUUGUACAUGGCAUGGUGGAAUCUGAGGCUGUCGCCAUAUGGGUAACGUUGUGUUGCGGAAAUAAUGGCCGCAAUGAUGGCAACGUCAUGGCAGUCCACAACGUGAAUGGUGGUGUUGGGUGGAAUUUCUUUUAGCAUUUGAGGGUUUUUUGUCAUUUAGAAAACCCUAAAAUCUAACGUUAGUAAGGCUUUAUUUGAUUUAUACCAUGAAACAUAGACACGAUAUUUGUGUGUGUGUAUUGUUUUGGCAAAACUAAUUAAACACGGCACACAAAUAUUCAAAAAGACUAACACCCACCAUCACUACCUCCACAAUCUCAUCUCAAAUCACCAUUCUCUAUCACUCUUAUUCAAUCAUGUUCAAUUAAAACAAAACAACAAUGAUUAUCAAUACAAAAUGCAAUUUGUUUAAUUAGAUAAUAAACAACAAUAACAAGAUGUUUGAGAGAAAGAUAUGGGGAGUAAUGUGGUCACAGCAGAGGAAAAGGGCAACUGGAGGAGAUCAGAUCUGGCAGUGGUGGGUAGUGGAGACAACUAAAACGAAGCAGAUCCAAGCGUGACCCAGAUGCCAUGUAACCCGCAUGAUAAAGACAGAGCAGAUCUUGAUGUGCUGAACAUGUAGGAGGAAGAGUUGGUAGAGAGAAUAAGGAAGAGGGAAAUGCAGAGGAACAUGAAGACAAAGGCGACGAGGAGGAUGAUCAAGUCAGAAGAGGGGGCAUGAUGCAGAUUGCUAAGAGAGGCAAGGUGGGAAGAGGGAGGAGGGGAGGUUGACGGGCUAUGACAAGUAGUAGGGAGGGACGAAGAGGAGAGGUGGCAAAUUUGGGUGAGGGCAAGGAGGAGUAGACGAGGGUGAGAGGAAGGAAGGAAGGAGGAGAAAAGAGGUGGAUUAGGGUUGAAUGUUAAAGGGUAAAAUUGGAAAUAAGAAAAUACAAGGGCAAAAGUGUCAAAAAAAUCCAUGUCCAUGUCUAAAAUUUGUUUCAACUUAAAGGAGAGAUACUAAGAAUAAAUUACCAUUUGUAUUCAUGAAAGAUACAAAUGCGGACAAAUGUAUCCAUAUAAGAAUAAAACGUACAAGGGCAAAAGUGUCAAAAAAAAUCCAUGUCCAUGUCUAAAAUUUGUUUCAACUUAAAGGAGAGAUACUAAGAAUAAAUUACCAUUUGUAUCUAUAAAAGAUACAAAUGCGGACAAAUGUAUCCAUAUAAGAAUAAAACGACAAUUGUACCCACGGAAGAUAGUUUCCGUGUGCCAAGAAUACCCUAAGGGACCAAUUGUGUAACCAACGUCCGGGUACUCUUGGUACACGGAAGCCAUCUUCUGUGGUUAUAAUUGUCGUUUUUAUUAUAUGGAUACAUUUGUCAGCAUCUGUAUCUUUUAUAGGUACAAAUGAUAAUUUAUUCGAGAUACUAAUGUGUACAUUUGUAUGUCACUGUGUCCAUUAAAAAUUUGUGUCUUAUCAAAUAAAUAGUAAAUGCGUGAUACCAUGUCCAUUUCUCAAUUGGACAUCGACACUGACCAAAUAAUUCCUAAGGUUGUGUUUUCUGUAUCAAAACAAUGAAGACACGGACACAGGCCCGUUUGGUAACAAUAGACACAAUGCAGUGGACAGAGACACAAAGACAUAGCAACACAUAGAUAUAAACAUAAACAUACACAUAUUUGGUAACAAUAUACACAAGACACUAAAUUUACAUUCAUAUCAAAAUACUAAAUUUAUCCUCCAUCGGUAACACCACUACCACCCCCAUCAUCUACAACCAUCAUCACUACGACUAUCAAAUUCAUCAUCAUCAUCUAUAGUUAACAAAAAAUCUUGAUAAAUUUCUUAAAAAAAAUGACAGAGAGGGAAAGGCAGUAAUCAUAAUAACAAUCAACUAAAAUUUAAAAAAAAAAUCGAAAGAAUGAGAGAUGGGGGUGACGGCAAUAGAAGGAUAGAGGAAGGCAAUGACGGCUGUGAGUUGUUGGAAGCGAUGGUAGUUACGAAACGGAGGAAGGUGAGUAGGCAAGGGGCUAUGAGUGUUCCUAUGUCGCGAGGGGUGGGCGUUGCGAGAUGUUGGGUCGUAAGGGGUGGAUGACGACGGCGCUGUGAGUUGUUGGGCCGCGAGGGGUGCACGACGACGACUCUACGAUGGCAUUGCGACGGUUGCAGUGGUGGGUGAUAGAGACGAGUGGCAAAAACUGGCGGCAUCAGCGGUGGUAGAGGGGGGAGUGAUUGAGGGAAGAGGGGAGUGGUAGAAGAAGAUGGAGGAGGGAAGAGGGAGGGGGAGAGAGAGAGAGGAAGAAACAUUAUUAGGAUUUAGGGUUAAAAUUGAAAUUUA